ACGGAAGGCAGCAGUGGGGAAUAUUGCACAAUGGGGGAAACCCUGAUGCAGCGACGCCGCGUGAGUGAAGAAGUAUUUCGGUAUGUAAAGCUCUAUCAGCAGGAAAGAAAAUGACGGUACCUGACUAAGAAGCCCCGGCUAACUACGUGCCAGCAGCCGCGGUAAUACGUAGGGGGCAAGCGUUAUCCGGAUUUACUGGGUGUAAAGGGAGCGUAGACGGCUUUGCAAGUCUGAAGUGAAAGCCCGGGGCUGAACCCCGGAACUGCUUUGGAAACUGUAGAGCUAGAGUGCAGGAGAGGUAAGUGGAAUUCCUAGUGUAGCGGUGAAAUGCGUAGAUAUUAGGAGGAACACCAGUGGCGAAGGCGGCUUACUGGACUGUAACUGACGUUGAGGCUCGAAGGCGUGGGGAGCAAACAGGAUUAGAUACCCUGGUA
rnacentral:rRNA from 1 species